UACGGAGGGGGCUAGCGUUGUUCGGAAUUACUGGGCGUAAAGCGUGCGCAGGCGGUUUUGUAAGUUUGUCGUGAAAGCCCCGGGCUCAACCUGGGAAUUGCGAUGAAGACUGCAAGGCUAGAGUGUGUCAGAGGGGGGUAGAAUUCCACGCGUAGCAGUGAAAUGCGUAGAUAUGUGGAGGAACACCGAUGGCGAAGGCAGCCCCCUGGGAUAACACUGACGCUCAUGCACGAAAGCGUGGGGAGCAAACAGG
rnacentral:rRNA from 1 species